CUGCCCUCGCCUUAAGGCGCGAUGCACCCUGAUGUUAGUUUAAUAUCUGAUACGUCAUAUUAAGCGGAUUUUUAGAACAGGGAGUCGGCACAAGGGCCUGCUCCAUCGACUCCAUGCAUCCACCCAGUAUUGCAUUGCCUCUGGAAGUGUGCACUUUAU
ensembl:snRNA U2 U2 spliceosomal RNA